GCCAGAGAAUUAAAUGUGAAUUCUUUAUUCACAGCUCAGAGCCUUUGCUCCCUAAAGUAGCCUCCGUAAAGCGACUGCAGCUGUAUCUGAGAGCUGAUUGUGUGAGCUGCAUGUGCUGCUGCAUAAAUGGGAUCAGUGACUGGAGUGUCACGGCCGUGCCUGCUCACAGGAAUCCAGCUCUAGGGACUGCAGUCCCUCCUCCUGCAUUUCAAAGAUGAGGGAAAGAUGUUACAGUUUAACAUCAACUGAGUUACUGCAUGGACCAGUGUGAGAGUUAGCACUGAUCACGGCGUUAAGAGGAAGCUUCAUAUUCCUAGUUCUGCCUCAAACCAGCCAAUUUCUAGGAGAAACAUCAAGCAAUUCAUUGCAUUUGCCUGCACAGCCUGGGUCAAUCUGUUGUCAAAUGAUGAGAUUCAAGGCCUAGAAACCUGUAUCUUUGCAAAUUGUGUACCAGCUACAGCCAGGAUUCAGGCUCACACAUUUUGAGAGAUGUUUUGGGAGCUGUAUAUCACACAGUUGAGGAUUUUUAAGCACGGUCUAUGGAAUUUGGUGGCAGUCAGCAGAAGCACCAAAGGUAACCAGAGCAGGAUUUAUGCAGGUUGUCUUGGACUGCAGACAUGAAUCACACAAUUGCACUGAUACCUUAAGAGUUAAGCUUAUAAAAUACCUAAAUAUUACAGGUACAGAGCAUCAACCAAUCUCAAGAUAAAAUGAUGCAUUU